GAUCAUCAGGGCGGAAGCCUCGUAUUGCGGGGUGAUAAGGAACUUGGAGACACCGAACCCGGCAGCGGCCAGGAUCACGGUGGCGAGAAUGACGGCCAGCAGGUGCUGCCGGACGGCGUUCAGGACCUCCAAGAGAUCAAUCGUUUCGUAACCUUCGUUUUCCAUGUGUGGGUCCUCCUGUUAAAUGUUCUGGCGGCGUUUCAUGCGGCUUCUGGCGGUGAUGGUCAAGGCCAGAAGGAUCACGGCGACUGCGCCGUAGAUGAUAGCAAACAGGCCGAAGCGGCCAAAAAGAUUCUGCACAUAGGUGACGAUCAGCUGCUUGACCGAAGCGGGAUUGAUGCUCAGCGCCUCCAUGUGGAUCGCAGGGAAAAUAAUGGUGGCGGCCAGCGCACAGAGCGCCGCAGCCGCAGUGAAAGCGAGCCUGAACAGGGCGCCGAGUCGGAUGGGGCAGACGCGAAACCAAGUGAUCUACGCAUGGCCAGGCUGAAGUCCCGGUAACACGGGAUGGAGGGCCGCACGGAUAAGCGUUGAAAAGCUUCCCGAUGAGCUGUGCGUAGGAGUGAAAGGCCAAUCAAACUUGGAGAUAGCUCGUACUCCCCGAAAGGCAUUUAGGUGCCGCGUCGGAUGGUCACCGUGAGAGGUAGAGCGACCGAUAGGACAAGAGGGCUUCACCGCCUAUCGAGUCCUGACGAACUCCGAAUGCUCACGGUCUGCAGUCCGGCAGUAAGGGGGCGGGUGCUAAGGUCCGUCCCCGAGAGGAGAAGAAUCCAGACCGCCGUCUAAGGUCCCGGAGUUCUGCCUGAGUUAGUCUAACGAAGUCUGGUCCCUAUGACAGCUAGGAUGUUGGCUUGGAAGCAGCCAUUCAUUCAAAGAGUGCGUAACAGCUCACUAGUCGAGGGUCCGGGCAUGGAUAAUAAUCGGGUAUAAGGCAGACACCGAAGGCGCGGGAUAGCAUUUAAGAAAGUAUCGGUAGGGGAGCAUACUCACAGCGUCGAAUGGUGUACGUAAGUUAUCCUGGAGCGGUGAGUAAAGCAAAUGUAGGAAUAAGUAACGAUAAGGAGGGUUAGAUUCCCUCCCGCUGUAAGACCAAGGUUUCCCGGGCAAUGCCAAUCAGCCCGGGGUCAGUCGGGUCCUAAGUCUAAGCCGAACGGCGAUGGCGAUGGCAGAGACGGUUAAUAUUCCGUCACUGCCGCAUGGGGCGACGUGGAGACGGAGCAGUGAAACCACCGCGGGGCGACGGAAGUCCCCGUUGAAGAGUGUAGGUGUUGAGGAUGGCAGGCAAAUCCACCAUCCGAGCUGAACUUGACAGUACGGAGUCCUCCUCGGAGGAAUCUGAUAGUGUGGGUAAACAUACUCCCGAGAAAAUCCGCUAAGCUUAACCCAUGCGGCACCCGUACCGCAAACGGACACACGUGGUCGGGUAGAACAUACUAAGGCGUUGAGAGAUUCAUGGUUAAGGAACUAGGCAAAUUGACCCUGUAACUUCGGGAUAAAGGGUCCUCGUGAUGAGCGAGGCGCAGAGAAUAGGUCCAGGCAACUGUUUAACAAAAACACAGGGCUGUGCAAACUCGAAAGAUGAGGUAUACAGCCUGACACCUGCCCGGUGCCGGAAGGUUAAGAGGAGAUGUCACUCGCAAGAGGAAGCAUUGAAUUGAAGCCCCGGUAAACGGCGGCCGUAACUAUAACGGUCCUAAGGUAGCGAAAUUCCUUGUCGGGUAAGUUCCGACCUGCACGAAUGGUGUAAUGAUCUGGACGCUGUCUCAACCGUGAGCUCAGUGAAAUUGUAGUAUCGGUGAAGAUGCCGAUUACCCGCGAUGGGACGAAAAGACCCCGUGAACCUUUACUACAGCUUAGCAUUGACCUUGGUCAUCCGAUGUGUAGGAUAGGCCGGAGGCUUCGAAGCGGGAGCGCCAGCUUUCGUGGAGCCAUCCUUGAAAUACGGCCCUUUGGCUGUCUGAGGUCUAACGCGCGAUGCGCGGACACUGCUUGGUGGGUAGUUUGACUGGGGUGGUCGCCUCCAAAAGCGUAACGGAGGCUUCCAAAGGUGCCCUCGGGUCGAUUGGUAACCGACCUCAAAGAGUGCAAUGGCAUAAGGGCGCUUGACUGGGAGGCAGACAUGCCGAGCAGGCAGGAAACUGGGGCAUAGUGAUCCGGCGGAUGUGUAUGGAAACUCCGUCGCUCAAAGGAUAAAAGGUACUCCGGGGAUAACAGGCUGAUCCCCCCCAAGAGCUCAUAUCGACGGGGUGGUUUGGCACCUCGAUGUCGGCUCGUCACAUCCUGGGGCUGGAGAAGGUCCCA
rnacentral:rRNA from 1 species